rnacentral:rRNA from 1 species
UUCAGCAGGCCCCCGUAAUUCCAGCUCCAAUAGCGUAUAUUAAAGUUGUUGCAGUUAAAACGUCCGUAGUCAAAUUUUAGUCUUUAGGCGAGGUGGCCUGGUCUUCAUUGAUCAAGCUCGUCUCUGCCGAGACUUUUUUUUUGGUUAUGCUAUUGUUGGCUUCGGUCGGCGGUAGUCUCUAGCCAAAUGAUUACCAUGAGCAAAUCAGAGUGUUUAAAGCAGGCUUUCAAGCUUGAAUGUGUUAGCAUGGAAUAAUGAAAUAUGACUUUAGUUCUUAUUUCGUUGGUUCAGGAACUUAAGUAAUGAUGAAUAGAAACGGUUGGGGGCAUUUGUAUUUGGUCGCUAGAGGUGAAAUUCUUGGAUUGACCGAAGACAAACUACUGCGAAAGCAUUUGACCCAGGACGUUUUCAUUGAUCAAGGUCUAAAGUUAAGGGAUCGAAGACGAUUAGAUACCGUCGUAGUCUUAACCACAAACUAUGCCGACUAGCGAUUGGGCCUGUUUAUUAUGACUGGCUCAGCAGCUUAGCGAAAGUAAAGUUUUUGGGUUCUGGGGGGAGUAUGGGACGCAAGGCUGAAACUUAAAGGAAUUGACGGAAGGGCACCACCAGGAGUGGAGCCUGCGGCUUAAUUUGACUCAACACGGAA